rnacentral:rRNA from 1 species
AUGCUCCGCCUCCGAGGGCGCAUCGUUGCCCAUCUCCUCUCUUUCUCCUCCACCUCUGGCCCGGCCAUCUCCCCCCUCCACCGGCUCCUCUCCGCAUCGGCAGCCGCCGGCUCCAUUUCCCCGAACCCCGGUGGAUUCGCCGUCGAGGAGUACCUCGUCGACACCUGCGGGCUCACCCGGCCCCAAGCCUUCAAUGCCUCCACCAAGCUCUCCCACCUCAAGUCCCCCGCCAACCCCGAUGCCGUCCUCGCCUUCCUCGCCGGCGUCGGCCUCUCCGGCGCCGACGUCGCCCCGGUUGUCGCCAAGGACCCGCAGCUCCUAUGCGCCAAAGUGGACAAAACCCUGGCUCCGGUGGUCGAUGGGCUCACCGGCCUCGGCCUGUCGCGUUCCGACAUCGCCCGCCUCGUCUCGCUCGCCCCCGGCGGCUUCCGCCGUAGAGCCAUAGUCUCCAGGCUGCACUACUACCUGCCCCUCUUGGGCUCCUUCCAAAACUUCCUCCGGCUGCUCAAGCGCUCAUCCCACCUUCUGUCGUCGGACCUCGACAAGGCUGUCAAGCCCAAUGUUGUGUUCCUGAGGGAGUGCGGGCUAGGUGGUUGUGAUAUUGCCAAGCUGUGUAUCCGUGUGCCUAGGAUGCUGAGCACCAACCCCGAGCGUGUCCGGGCGAUGGUGGCAUGUGCCGAAAGAUUAGGUGUGCCCCGUGGCUCUGGGAUGCUCAGGCAAGCGCUGCAGGCUGUCGCGUUUCGCAGCGAGGAGAAGAUCGUCGCCAGAUUGAAGUACUUGAAGAAUACGUUCGGGUGGUCUGAUGCUGAAGCAAGCAUUGUUGUGCGCAGGUAUCCGGCGGUGCUGGGGAAGUCAAAGGAAUCUUUGAAGUGCAGGUCUGAGUUCCUGCUCUCUGAGGUGGGGCUGGAACCCAUGUCCAUUGCUCAUCAACCUGUAAUUCUCAGUCUUAGCCUGGAGGGCCGGCUGAGACCCCGGUACUAUGUUAUAAAGUUUCUCAAGGAAAAUGGACUGCUAGAUGGUGACCCGAGCUUCUUUACUGCGGUCAAGAUGACUGAGAAGGUAUUUAUGGAGAAACUCAUAUCCCCUCACAAGGAAGCUGCACCACACCUCGCUGAAGACUAUGCAACAGCUUGCAAAGGGGAAGUGCCAACUAAUUUCAUAUUUAGAUGGACCAGGAACAGGCUAUGA